GCCCCGGUGGCGCAUGGUGCGCGUCUGUGUAAACUAGAUAUCCUGAAUCAAAGCUUUGAUGCAGGAGAUGCCCGUUCGACUCGGGCCCGGGGCA